rnacentral:rRNA from 1 species
GUCUUUUUGAAAAUAAUUUAAAGUCUAAUCUGCCCACUGAAUAUAAUUUAAAGGGCUGCAGUAUAUUGACUGUACAAAGGUAGCAUAAUCAGUAGUCUUUUAAUUGAAGACUUGUAUGAAUGAUUUGAUGAGAUAUAAACUGUCUCUUUAUAAUAAGUAAAAUUUAAUUUUUUAGUUAAAAAGCUAAAAUAUUUAUAAAAGACGAGAAGACCCUAUAGAGUUUUAUAUUUGAAUUUAUUUGAAUUUUAUAUAAAAUUUUUAAUUUAAAUAAAUUUAAAUAUUUUGUUGGGGUGAUAGAAAAAUUUAUAAAACUUUUUUUAAAAAAUUAACAUUGAUAUAUGAUUUUAUGAUCCAUAAUUUAUGAUUAAAAGAAUAAAUUACCUUAGGGAUAACAGCGUAAUUUUUUUUUUUAGUUCAAAUAAAAAUUAAAGUUUGCGACCUCGAUGUUGGAUUAAGAUAAAAUUUAAAUGCAAAAGUUUAAAAUUUUGAUCUGUUCGAUCAUUAAAAUCUUACA